rnacentral:ncRNA from 6 species
UGCAGAUCUUGGUGGUAGUAGCA